UCCUGGCUCAGGAUGAACGCUGGCGGCGUGCCUAAUACAUGCAAGUCGAGCGAACUGACGAGGAGCUUGCUCCUUUGACGUUAGCGGCGGACGGGUGAGUAACACGUGGGUAACCUACCUAUAAGACUGGAAUAACUCCGGGAAACCGGGGCUAAUGCCGGAUAACAUAUCGAACCGCAUGGUUCGAUAGUGAAAGACGGUCUUGCUGUCACUUAUAGAUGGACCCGCGCCGUAUUAGCUAGUUGGUGAGGUAACGGCUCACCAAGGCAACGAUACGUAGCCGACCUGAGAGGGUGAUCGGCCACACUGGAACUGAGACACGGUCCAGACUCCUACGGGAGGCAGCAGUAGGGAAUCUUCCGCAAUGGGCGAAAGCCUGACGGAGCAACGCCGCGUGAGUGAUGAAGGUCUUCGGAUCGUAAAGCUCUGUUGUUAGGGAAGAACAAAUGUGUAAGUAACUGUGCACAUCUUGACGGUACCUAACCAGAAAGCCACGGCUAACUACGUGCCAGCAGCCGCGGU
rnacentral:rRNA from 1 species